GGGUCAGCACAAGCUCUAGGGCCAGGUAAGGGACCUGUCCCUUGCAAGUAAGCUAUGAAAUGGGUCCUUGGGUGUCUCAAAGGUAUUUUUAGGAUUUAUAUUUUGGUGAUGGUAAAUCCAUGUUAGAUGGGUAUAUAGAUGCUAACAUGGCAUCAUUGCAGAUAGAGGAUAUAAAACUUAUCAUUGCAUUUUAUUAUGGUACAUAAAAUUAGGAAUCUACAUAAAGCAAAAUAUGGGCACUGCAAUUUCACCACAUGCAUUAAUUUGUGGUUAGCUUUCUUCUUGAAAAUAUCC
rnacentral:lncRNA from 1 species